AUACGUAGGGUGCGAGCGUUGUCCGGAAUUACUGGGCGUAAAGAGCUCGUAGGUGGUUUGUCGCGUCGUCUGUGAAAUUCCGGGGCUUAACUCCGGGCGUGCAGGCGAUACGGGCAUAACUUGAGUACUGUAGGGGAGACUGGAAUUCCUGGUGUAGCGGUGAAAUGCGCAGAUAUCAGGAGGAACACCGGUGGCGAAGGCGGGUCCCUGGGCAGUAACUGACGCUGAGGAGCGAAAGCAUGGGUAGCGAACAGGAUUAGAUACCCUGGUAGUCCAUGCCGUAAACGGUGGGCGCUAGGUGUAGGGGUCUUCCACGACUUCUGUGCCGUAGCUAACGCAUUAAGCGCCCCGCCUGGGGAGUACGGCCGCAAGGCUAAAACUCAAAGGAAUUGACGGGG
rnacentral:rRNA from 1 species